rnacentral:rRNA from 1 species
UACGUAGGGUGCGAGCGUUAAUCGGAAUUACUGGGCGUAAAGCGUGCGCAGGCGGUUUUGUAAGCCAGAUGUGAAAUCCCCAGGCUUAACCUGGGAACUGCGUCGGAUACUGGAUGGCUUGAAUUCGGGAGAGGGAUGCAGAAUUCCAGGUGUAGCGGUGAAAUGCGUAGAUAUCAGGAAGAACACCCGUGGCGAAGGCGGCUCUCUGGGACGGUACUGACGCUGAGACGCGAAAGCGUGGGGAGCGAACAGG